AUGGAACACAUGGCGAGCUCUUAUUUUCAGGAAGUGUUCACCAAAGAUCCGACACUUACACCUAUGGAGGUGCUUGAAGGUAUAACUCCUAAAGUGACACAGGGUAUGAAUGAUUUGCUGUGUGCGCCGUUUUCAGAGGAGGAGGUGUCUAAUGCCCUGUUUCAGAUUGGGCCGAUCAAAGCGCCAGGAACGGAUGGCUUGCCGGCAAGGUUCUUCCAAUGCAAUUGA
rnacentral:rRNA from 1 species